UUGAGAUGGGACUAGGCAGAGUUUUGUGUUACUUUACUCUAGUAAUCUUCAUUCAAUAUUCCUGCAGUCAGACACUGAUCGAGUCUGAUCCAGUGACCAUCAAACCUGAUCAGUCUCAUAAACUGAUCUGCACAGCAUCUGGAUUUAACUUUGGUGGCUCACAUAUGGGUUGGAUCAGACAGGCGCCUGGAAAAGGACUGGAAUGGAUUGCAUGGAUCUCAAGUGGCAGUAGUGACAUACGUUACUCCAGCACUGUUAAGGGCCGCUUCACCAUCUCCAGAGACAACAGUAAGAUGCAGGUGUAUCUGCAGAUGAACAACAUGAGGACAGAAGACACUGCAGUUUAUUACUGCGCCCGUGAACCACACAGUGAUACUUCCCCUUACACAUCAGUACAAAAACACUUUUUUUUUGACUUACUACAGACAUAUGACAAACCCACAUUUUCAGAUUCUUGGAGGUGAAAGAAACAAAAUGUUUACAGUGUCUCUGACUUACAUGUUACCACUUGUAAGUCAGAGU